GACGAACGCUGGCGGCGUGCUUAACACAUGCAAGUCGAACGGAAAGGCCCUGCUUUUGUGGGGUGCUCGAGUGGCGAACGGGUGAGUAACACGUGAGUAACCUGCCCUUGUCUUUGGGAUAACUUCAGGAAACUGGGGCUAUUACCGGAUAGGAGCUCCUGCUGCAUGGUGGGGGUUGGAAAGUUUCGGCGGUUGGGGAUGGACUCGCGGCUUAUCAGCUUGUUGGUGGGGUAGUGGCUUACCAAGGCUUUGACGGGUAGCCGGCCUGGGAGGGUGACCGGCCACAUUGGGACUGAGAUACGGCCCAGAAUCCUACGGGAGGCAGCAGUGGAGAAUAUUGCACAAUGGGCGGAAGCCUGAUGCAGCAACGCCGCGUGCGGGAUGACGGCCUUCGGGUUGUAAACCGCUUUCGCCUGUGACGAAGCGUGAGUGACGGUAAUGGGUAAAGAAGCACCGGCUAACUACGUG
rnacentral:rRNA from 1 species